UACGUAGGGGUCUAGCGUUGUCCGGAAUUAUUGGGCGUAAAGAGCUCGUAGGCGGUUCGGCAAGUCGGAUGUGAAAUCUCCACGCUUAACGUGGAGGGGCCAUUCGAAACUGCCGUGACUCGAGUCCGGUAGGGGAGUGCGGAAUUCCCGGUGUAGCGGUGAAAUGCGCAGAUAUCGUAAGGAAGACCAGUGGCGAAGGCGGGUCUCUGGACAGUUCCUGACGCUGAGGCACGAAGGUCAGGGGAGCAAACGGG
rnacentral:rRNA from 1 species